rnacentral:lncRNA from 1 species
CUGAAGAACUUUGAGCUUGUGUGAGCUGUGGUGAAAUUCUUCAACUUGUACAUAGCAUAGCCAGGACAGCAGGGAACUUCAUGCAGGCCACAAGUGACUUAAAAAGUUGUUUUCAGAUAAAAGAAAAAAGAAAGACAAGAUGUUGUUUUACUUCCGUGAUUCUUGGGAAAAUGCAAAAAUACCAAUUAAGCUGUAAUUUUAACUCACAGCUGUCUUUCAAUGCCAAUGAAAAAGACUGAACCACUGAUUGAUCACCUGAGGCAAGGGCUGAGUCAGCCCUGGGAGCACAGGUGAAGGCAAUUCACCUGUUUGACCAGAAGGGGUGGAGCCUAGCUGCACCUCUACUAGAUCUGUUUAAAGGCUGACUGAAGCUGCAGAAGGAUCUCUUUCUGGAGAUUCUCCCUUUGGAGUCUUCUACUGUGAGCCUAGGACACGGCUGAAAUGGGACAGAGUUUAUUGAUGGGCUUUCCUUCUGGAUUCCAUUGGCUUGAAGAGGUGGGGAUCUGUAAAGGACCGAUCAUAGAGGUUGGGUGAAAAGAAAAGUCUGAGACAGAUUUGAGUCACCAGAAUAAAUCUGAAUUGUGGAGCAACAGAAGACGUAAAAUAGAAGACUUUCAUCAGUGAAAGCUCAUAGAUGGCUGCGUGUGGAAUUUGGUAGCUACAAAGUUACAGAACAGUGCAAUAAGUCUAAAAUUUGAAUUUUUGAAAUACUGACAAUACUUCCACAGAAGUCAUUAACACUUCUGUUCAAAAGAUGGACAUUAUUUUGCAGGUCUGUUUUGCAUGUUUGUAUAAUGUCUUCUGUUUCACAGUGUUCUAUUAUGGGGCUGCUAGCUGGACUGCUGACCUCAUCUCUGGGUCUGCAUGACUGUGAUAUGAUAUGAUACAGAACAAAAUGUCUGUAAUAUCUGUAUCCUACAGAGCAUUAACUACAAUUAGAGUGUCAGUUUAGUUUGAAUGAGGUGCCAUUUGUUUUUUCCCAACAAAAAAACUGCUCCCAACACUCAGUUGCCUGGAUAAAACACUGUCUCUUGAAAACCUCAGCGAGAAAACAGCUUAUCCUGAAGGUGAACAUCCUGACACAAAUGGUGAGUAAUCUACUUGAAAUAGUCAUAAUGUGACCUGAAAUGUCUUUCUGACAGUGCACAUGGCUUUUUCUCCUGCUCUGGGCUUUUGAACAUUAGAUGACCCUUCAGCUUUUACCUGAGAACAGUACCAUCAGACCUUUUCAUCCCAGCUCAGCUGAAGCAGGUUGCUAGAAUUGGGUCAGAUUGCUGUGCUUUCAGACAAGUUGAAUUCCCUCCUCAGGAGUUUGUUGACAAGCUCAGGAAUUGGACAUACCUCCGUCAAAGCAUGGCAGUAAUCCUUUUUAUGUAUUUAUUUCUACUUCAUCAACUCCGAACAAGAGUUCUCCUUAGAACAUAUGCUUCACUGGAGUUCUGGUUGUGCAGAGUAUUCUGCAUAUGGUGUAUUUUCUGGUGUGUAUAACUCCAUUCCCACCUCAUGUAUUUUUGACAGGGUAUCUCUUGUAGUUAGGAUAAUAAAAAUCACUUGUUAGACUGCAUUCUGAGGGGAAGAAACAUUCUUGUGUUGUAGCUCCUGUUCAGCAAGCUGUCUGAUCUGUGUUGGAGGAAAAAAUCAAUACACAGUUUGACUAGAGAAGUCAGAUCAAAUAUCAAUGUUUACUUUUUAUUUAGAGAGUUCAGGUGCUUUUUGUAGCAAAGCAAUUAAGCUGCUCCUAAUAGUACUACAGUACAUCUUGAAAGAGUUUUUGAGCUGACAUUGCUUUGGAGACAAAAGCAAUAGUGCACAUAUAUAUGCUAUGCUUGCUUUUGUUUCUGGUAGUUCAUCUAUAUUUUAUCUAGUUUAUUUUGACAACAGCUGCCUGAAUAGAUUAUAUAUACUCACUGUUCUUGUGAAAAGAGUAAGCCAUGCCAUGUCAUUGUAAGACAAAGCUGUGUUCUUUCAGGGAAGUCCUCGUCAGAAAUGACAAGUGAUGGUGCUGCAGGGAGUUUACCAAAUUAACUGUUUUUCAAAGCAUACGCUGCCAUUGAUUAUGACCUGACUUCUGAAAAGAUCUGACUUCUGUCACUACAGUCAUGAGAUACCUAUCAAGUGGAACAAACACUCACUGUGCUUGUUCUUGCAUAGUUUUUCCUUUUGAGGAAUUCAUCUGUCUUCGUGAUGUUUUGUGCUUCAGGCUUGCUGUUCAGACCCAUUGCCAGGUUAUGUUUCUGUUUAUGACAAUAUAUUGGUAAACAAUCAAAUCUGUAAGGUAUAACACAGUUAUGUGGCUCUAAAUAGUUAAAAUGUUGACCAAUAUUAAGAAAAAGAUUUACUUUCAAAAAUUCAUUGGCAGGUAUAUUUGGAAAUACUAUGUCAAAAUGAUUUCAUAAUAAGUGUAGGUUUGUUAAGACUGAGUUUCUUCACUCAGGCCAGCUGCAGUAAGAGCAAGGAAGAUUUGGAACUAAAUUCUGGGAUGUCUGGUUAGUCUGGGAAAGAUCCAUUGGCAGCCCAAGAAAUCACUAGUUUUGUGGUAGAUAAAACAUAGUCCUUGGUGGAGAGGACACGGUAAAUUUUUGUAAGCGCAUCCUUCCUGCAACCAGUCUGUUCUGGGUAAACUGCCACUGAGUUUGGCUUAGGCAGCCUUUGGCCAGAUAACAGAGGGACUGGAAAGCAGAACCCCAAAUACAUGUCUGCUUCCUUACUCCUGCUGUUUAUAAACAAAACAACAUUUAUUCCUUUGAAGGUACAAAGCAAAUAUGAAAAUUUAUAACCAAGUACCCCCUUUUAUUGCUUCUCUCCUUAAUUUUGUCUAUGUUCACCACUCUUAAUAAUAAAAUUGUCUUCUUGCUCUAUGUUCCCUAUUCUUCAUAAGAACUGAUUUUUUU